rnacentral:lncRNA from 1 species
GUCUUCACAACAGCAGCAAGCAAGCACACUACAACGAAUGACUGCUGGGAUGUGUUACAGGACCUACUCUACGGUCAGGUCAGUCUCCUUACCCUUAUUUCAACAGUCACAAUGAAAAAUGGGACAAGUCUAGUUCCCAUUUUAAAGAGAGACUGAAGUAUGGGACUGUUCCCCCUUGAGUUAUAAACAGAGCUGAAUUGGGUCCCCAACCCCACGUUGAGCACCAUUGCCUUGACAGCUACUCCCAGACUCCGGAUGGAUUUGGCAAAAGGUUCAACCCAACCCUUGCUUUCAACAUCAUCUUAUAAGCCUGUACUUUCCUGUGUGCCCUUCCCACCCAAACCAGGCUGCAAGAUACUGGGAUGCAUGGCAGGUACUUUGUCCAGCAGUAGCUGGGGGCUUAGCUGAGUCACAGAGUAAGGCUCUGUCAUCUGCUUAAUGGCUUUACACAAGUCCCAUCAUGUCCCUACAGCUCAUUUUCCCCCUCUAUAAAUAGAGGGGUCUUAGUGAUAAGAAUGGCUUCCUUAGAAGCUUACAGUGUGUGUGUGUGUGUGUGUGUGUGUGUGUGUGUGUGUGUGUGAUGCUAAUGGCAGGGCCUGGCACACAGGGAGGGCCCAGGAACCUUUGCUCUUUGAUGGGCUGCGAGUGGCAGGAGGUGAAGUUCUGAGGGAGAUGGUGUCAUGACUUCUGCUCUUCUGCCCUGCUCAGUCUUGAGAAGGAGGCAGCCAUCUGAUCUCAACACUGUACACUGUGCAGGAAGCCGAGAUGCACAACACUUGUAGUGUAAAUAGAGGCUGUCCAUUCCAAGGACAAAUAGUGAGCCACCGAGCUCUCUGCUUACAGUAUCUGCUGCUGCCCAAGUCCCCUGCCUGUUUUUUGACUUUCAAGUUGCACCACAUUUAUCCCCAAGAAUAAUAAUUUACUAAACAUGCCAACCCAUAUAGUAGAGGGAGAUGAGCCAGUGGGGGUGGGGUGGGGUGGUGCUGCUGCCGCAACUAGCCCAUUUCAUGCUGGGGUAGAUGCCCUCUGUUCUCCUAUACAUCUAUAUGCAGAAGUUCAUUUUCCAACUGCACAGACCACUGACAGGCAGCAACGCACGCUUAUGAACCUCCAUCUAUAUUCCAGCCUGGGUGCCCCCACUCCGCUCCUGCUCUCUGCUCCCAUGUUAGGCAAUUCCUCUCCCUUGGUGCCCCUGGCUGCCGCCAUCAUUCUCACUUAGGCAAACUCUAUCUAUGUAUUUCAUUCCUCUAAUUUUCUCCCAUAAAUCAAUCCUCCCUCCCCUUGGCUGCUGCUGUUCUGUCUGGAUUGUGCUUCUAGUGAGUUGUUCAUUUCAUCCAAUUGUGUAUUCAAUGAAGGGUUAUGAAGUGCCAGCUACGGGCAGGGUACGAGGGGGAGAGGAGUGAAGUAGGGAGCUGUGCCCUGCUUGAGCCUGCUAGAGAGAAUAGUGUAAACCGUGGGGUUUAUAAACAAUGAGGAUUCACAAAGUCCAAGAUCAAGGCUCUGUUGGCCCGGUGGUCUGGUGAUGACCUCUGGCUUCAUCAAUGGCACGUCCCUGCCUCAGGCCUCUUUUAUAAGGGUACUUAUGUUAUUCACAAGGACCCCCUCUCAGGAAAUAUUCACUUCCAAAGACCUACCUCCUAAUAGAAUAUUUGGUCCAACUGCUUUGAUAAAAUACCGACAAAAGCAAUUUAAGGAACAAAGGGUUUACUUUGGCUCCCGGUUUGAAGAUACAAUCCAUCACAGUGGGAAGCUUGUGGCAGGAGCUUGAUGCAGCUGGUUAGCCUGAGCCAACAAUGAGCAAGCAGAGAACAGCACACACUUGUACUCAGCUCUCUUCCUCCUCUAAUCAGGCCAAGCCUAGGGAAUGGUGCUGCCCUCCUUUAGUACAGGUCGUGUCAACUACUCCAAUGGAGACAGUUUCUCACAGGCAUGCCCAGAGGCUAGCCUAAUCUAAUAAUCCCUCAUAGGUGUCCCUGGAAGGCUUGCCUCCCAGGUGAUUCCAGAUUCAGCCAAACAGACAAUCGAUAUUAACCAUCUCAGGGGUUAAGUUGUCAAUCUUUAAAAGUGAGGUGGGGGCAGGAACACUCAGACCCCUGCUGGGAGACUCACAAUUUUGCAGCAUUCAGAGAGGACAACUGGGUUCCACUCUAUCCCCUUUGCCUGUCAGCUGAUAAACUCAUAACAAGCUACUAACAACUAAUAUGUCUUGGCUUUAUUUUCCUCAGGGUCAAAUGUGGGUAACAGUCACAGUCUCAUGAGGUGCUGGGAGUUAUCAGUGAAGGGAAGCAUCCAAAACAUGGCAUACACAAUGGUUUCCUAGUACUGUCCCCACUGACCACCUAGCACUGUCUGCUCGGCAGCAUAUGUGACUGUCCCCAUGAAGGAGGUUGUCAUGAGCUCUUCACAGGACAGUGGUGAGCAUCCUGAGGUCACAGGCUGAGGAAGGAUCUGAACAUUGGAAAGAGCGCCUCCUCUUCACCACAUAGUCUGCCGCCUUAGAAUUUACUUCCCACCGAUCGUAACUGGAAAUAAAUCUCUAGGAGGAAAGGACUGCCACAUACAACUUGUGUAUUUGUCUUCAGACUGAAAAUAUCUCAGAGGGACUCUGUGUAGUGCAUCGUUACACACAAAGAUGACAGAGAUGCCAGGAGAGCUCAGAAACAGAGGAGAAUGGUACCCACAAGCCUGCAAGAGGAUACUUCUCGCUUCAUUCACAGCAUACAUAAAAAGGAACUUAGGAUGGCUCAGAUGCUCAAAUGCUAAAGCUAAACCCAAGCUCUUAUUUUGUUUUCAGGCUAUUUUCAGACAUGUCUGUCAUGUACUCUGACAACACUCCCGUCCACAUCACUCUCUUUUGUCUCACCAUCCCUCUGUGGGUACACUGGUUCUCUUCUACCUUUAUGUCUUAAACACUUUUCAAAAUCUAGAUUCUGCCCAUGAAAAAAAUCAUAUGCUAUCGGUCUGAGUAAAAUGAUAAAGUCUUAAAAAGAAUAUAGAAUUGUAAGUCUUUAGUACCUUGGAUUAGGAUAAGAUCAGACACCAAAAGUAAAGGC